rnacentral:ncRNA from 1 species
GAGAGCCGUGUGAGGUGAAAGUCUCACGCACGGUUCGGAAUGGGAGUCGUGGUAGGUGACUACCACUUCGACCCCUAAUUAGGGUUUGCUGAAAAAGUUUCUCCAAAAUUUAUGCCACUUUUGACCAAGAAU